GCCCGUUGUUGGGGCAGCCGGUGCCCUCCCUUCCGGCCCGAGGCGCUUCAGGAACUACACCUCCCAGCCUGCCCUGGGGCGCUUCCACCCUCUCGCGCUCCAGGCUGCGUCAUAACAUCCCUGUUUUGCUCCAGAUCAUUCCAUCCUUCCAGGGAACAGGGAAGGGAAAUGGCUGCAGUGGAGCCAGUUGAGGGGCCGGUGGCCUUCGAGGAGGUGGCUGUGUAUUUCACCAGAGAAG